rnacentral:rRNA from 1 species
CCCCUUAGAUGUUCUGGGCCGCACGCGCGCUACACUGACGAUGGCAACGAGUUUUUCCUUCGCCGAAAGGUGUGGGUAAUCUUUUGAAACAUCGUCGUGCUGGGGAUAGAUCAUUGCAAUUUUUGAUCUUGAACGAGGAAUUCCUAGUAAGCGCGAGUCAUCAGCUCGCGUUGAUUACGUCCCUGCCCUUUGUACACACCGCCCGUCGCUACUACCGAUUGAAUGGUUUAGUGAGGACUCCUGAUUGGCGCCGCCGCCCCGGCAACGGAGCAGCGGACUGCCGAAAAGUUGUUCAAACUUGAUCAUUUAGAGGAAGUAAAAGUCGUAACA